rnacentral:rRNA from 1 species
UACGUAGGGGGCAAGCGUUGUCCGGAUUUAUUGGGCGUAAAGAGCGUGUAGGCGGCCAGACAGGUCCGUUGUGAAAACUCGAGGCUCAACCUCGAGAUGUCGAUGGAAACCGUCUGGCUAGAGUCCGGAAGAGGAGUGUGGAAUUCCCGGUGUAGCGGUGAAAUGCGCAGAUAUCGGGAAGAACACCCGUGGCGAAGGCGGUUCUCUGGGACGGUACUGACGCUGAGACGCGAAAGCGUGGGGAGCGAACAGG